rnacentral:hammerhead_ribozyme from 1 species
AUCCAUAUGACGCGUCCAAAAUAGGACGAAACUCGCAUCCUGGAU